UUUAAACAUUUUGACUCAUCUUACAAGUGUCAUUAUUCUCGCUACAACAUCAUGUCUUUCCCCAGCAGGGAUUUCACUGUGAAACGUCCUGCGUGAGAAUCCGCCGCCGGUGGUGCCUUUUGUAGUGUGAUAACAAGCUAAUCUAUAGGAGGCGUCACAUGAUCUAUUAUCCCUAUAGCAACAACAUGUGCCGCUGCUAGGUGACAUGUUUCCAUAGCAACUACCAGAUGUGUGCACAGCAAUGACAAAAGUACACUAUAUGGUUGUGAUUGUGUCAACAUUUUUCUUUUCCAGAAAUUGAGCACAAACAAGACUUCAUGACAUGAGUGGAGACGGGGUGAGAGCAGCGAAGAGGUUUGGCAUUAAAAGCGAAAUUUGUCGAGUGCUUAAUGCAUAUGCAUUAGCAUUUUUUUCAUGGUAAUCAUUAUGUCUUGUUUGUGUCACACUUCAGAGUGGUAAACCGCGAAGAGAGAGUGGAAGAAGACAGAGGAAAGCGGCUGUGGAAAAAUGGAAAGACGUGAGGUGUGAGGUGAUUCAGUUAGUGUCAGAAAGCAACAGCUGUUUAGUUCAGCUUCUUAAAUGAGAAUAUUUUCUGUAUUCUUUGCUCCUAAUCCACGUCCCCUCAACUAAAAGGU